CUCAGCUGCCUGAUGAAUUAUGUACUUUUGGCCACCAAGAUCUUGAUCGAAGGGCUCUUCACCAAGGGGCAUGUCAUCUUCAUUGGCCUUCUCAACCUCUUCAUUCCUUGCAGGCUUUUUGCCCUUGUUUUCUGUUGUUGCGGGCUUCGAAGAACCAAUUUUCUCUUCGACCACCACAAUUGUUGAAGGUGUCGCAGUUGUAGCUGCUAGAUCAAUCUUCGACCUCUCUAUAUGGUUGCGGCCAUAGCAGGUAGUGCAAUAUCCUCCACUGCAAGGAUUGUAUCAACAAUAUUCUUUUCCUCAUACUCUCCUUUGUCAAUAUCAAAGAACGAGCUCAUUACUG
rnacentral:lncRNA from 7 species